rnacentral:rRNA from 1 species
UGGGGAAUUUUGGACAAUGGGCGAAAGCCUGAUCCAGCAAUGCCGCGUGUGUGAAGAAGGCCUUCGGGUUGUAAAGCACUUUUGUCCGGAAAGAAAUCCUUGGCUCUAAUACAGUCGGGGGAUGACGGUACCGGAAGAAUAAGCACCGGCUAACUACGUGCCAGCAGCCGCGGUAAUACGUAGGGUGCAAGCGUUAAUCGGAAUUACUGGGCGUAAAGCGUGCGCAGGCGGUUUGCUAAGACCGAUGUGAAAUCCCCGGGCUCAACCUGGGAACUGCAUUGGUGACUGGCAGGCUAGAGUAUGGCAGAGGGGGGUAGAAUUCCACGUGUAGCAGUGAAAUGCGUAGAGAUGUGGAGGAAUACCGAUGGCGAAGGCAGCCCCCUGGGCCAAUACUGACGCUCAUGCACGAAAGCGUGGGGAGCAAACAGGAUUAGAUACCCUGGUAGUCCACGCCCUAAACGAUGUCAACUAGUUGUUGGGGAUUCAUUUCCUUAGUAACGUAGCUAACGCGUGAAGUUGACCACCUGGGGAGUACGGUCGCAAGAUUAAAACUCAAAUGAAUUGACGGGG